UUGAGCCAGACUCCUCCUGUCUCCUUGCUUGGCAGCCUUGCAGUAAACUUUUCUUUUUACAAAAGGCUGAUGCCUUGGUGUUGGCUUUCCAUUGCACGUGGGCAGACAGAGCCAGGUUGGUUUGGUAACAAUAGCAGAGCCUGAGCAGCAAGAGCAUCCAGCGUCUGGGGGCGGAGCCACAGCAGUGCCGGAAACAAGAGUCCUUGAACAGGGCCAGCAGCAGCUGGCGGUGAGGAUUGGCAGUCACCUAUUUCCCAUAAAUGGAGAGAGAGGAGCUGAUUGAAUUAGGAUUCAAAAAAGACUCAAUGCGGGAAGCUGUGUCUGCAGACUAUGAACAGAGGAAUCGUCUCCACUGCUCACUGACCCUAACCCAUUGGGUCUCUGGCUAAAGCAGAAGAGUCCCACACCUGAGGGGAGGGUGUUCGCUCUGAACACACAGCUUCAAGGAUGUUCUGCUCUAAUGGAAAGGCUCUAGACUGUAGCUAAGACUUUCACUCGUCCAGAUAUUUACAGUUUGAAGGACUUCCCUCCUGAUAUUUUUGGCAAUAAAGGAGAAAAUCAUUUCUCCUCAGAGCAUUUGAAAUUGGAAAAAUAAACGUGCUGUGUGCAGCUGAAUCUUCUAAGCCUUUGACAUUUUUCAGUGGCAGGAUGGAGGGUCCGUAUGGACAGUCAGACUUGAGCGCUUGAACACUUACAGUCUUUGCGUCUGCAAAACCUGGAUAAUCACUCCAUAUACCACCUGCCGGGAACUAAUUUUCUUGUCAUUUCAUAAAAAAAGAUUCCCAGUCUUCUAGACAAGUUGCAAGGACUGACUAACGCGGGGGAAUGCUUGCAUAUCAGCAGACCAGAGGUGGUGUAGACGCCAAGCGUGGACCGAGUCCCGGGGCGCCCCAGAAGUGUCUUCUCCCCGAGCGACAGAGUUAAUGCCUCGCAUUAACAGCUAUGAGUCCCUCUUGGGUUUCUCCCACUCCCAACACCCUUCUCUGAGCCCCUGGCCACCGUCGCCUUCUCCUCUCGC
rnacentral:lncRNA from 10 species